GAUGAACGCUGGCGGCGUGCCUAAUACAUGCAAGUCGAGCGAACGGACGAGAAGCUUGCUUCUCUGAUGUUAGCGCCGGACGGGUGAGUAACACGUGGAUAACCUACCUAUAAGACUGGGAUAACUUCGGGAAACCGGAGCUAAUACCGGAUAAUAUUUUGAACCGCAUGGUUCAAAAGUGAAAGACGGUCUUGCUGUCACUUAUAGAUGGAUCCGCGCUGCAUUAGCUAGUUGGUAAGGUAACGGCUUACCAAGGCAACGAUGCAUAGCCGACCUGAGAGGGUGAUCGGCCACACUGGAACUGAGACACGGUCCAGACUCCUACGGGAGGCAGCAGUAGGGAAUCUUCCGCAAUGGGCGAAAGCCUGACGGAGCAACGCCGCGUGAGUGAUGAAGGUCUUCGGAUCGUAAAACUCUGUUAUUAGGGAAGAACAUAUGUGUAAGUAACUGUGCACAUCUUGACGGUACCUAAUCAGAAAGCCACGGCUAACUACGUG
rnacentral:rRNA from 1 species